GGGGGGGGGGGGGGGGGGGCGUGAGACGUGCGGGUCGUGCGGUGGGGGCCUUUCGGGGGUGCGCGAGUGGCGCACGGGUGAGUAACACGUGAGUAACCUGCCCACAACUUUGGGAUAACGCUAGGAAACUGGUGCUAAUACUGGAUAUGUGCUCCUGCUGCAUGGUGGGGGUUGGAAAGCUCCGGCGGUUGUGGAUGGACUCGCGGCCUAUCAGCUUGUUGGUGGGGUAGUGGCCUACCAAGGCGGCGACGGGUAGCCGGCCUGAGAGGGUGACCGGCCACAUUGGGACUGAGAUACGGCCCAGACUCCUACGGGAGGCAGCAGUGGGGAAUAUUGCACAAUGGGCGCAAGCCUGAUGCAGCAACGCCGCGUGCGGGAUGACGGCCUUCGGGUUGUAAACCGCUUUCAGCAGGGACGGAGCUUUUUGUGACGGUACCUGCAGAAGAAACACCGGCUAACUACGU
rnacentral:rRNA from 1 species